AGCGCCUCGGCCCCGUCUCGUCCCCGCUUCUCCCCGCGGACCACGUCUUAAACUCGGGAGCAGUUCUCUUCCCCGGUGCUUUCGAUCAACAUGGCUGUCCCCUGGUCGUGUUCCCAGCGGACGGUCUCGACAAACUCGCCACGGAGCUCAAUAAAGCCGAGGUGGUCGACUUCAUCAACUAUUUUCUGAUUCUGCAUAAGUAAGUCCAAGACAAAGAAGUCUCUGUCUGCGGACAGAGGGAGGGUGGGGGCGUGGUUCAAAUAUUUUCAUACCGAUGUCCAUGCAUGGGUGUUUUAUAAUAACUCUUCUGUCAACAGUAAAAAACAGGACCGAGACAGCCUGGUCUCCGUCGUGGCGGAUUUGAGGCAGGCACCUCUCUCUGCCGCAAGAAUCAUAGCGGAAACACUGCUCCUCCUUCAGACUGCCAGCACGGUCCACACGGCCUACCUCGUCCUACCGAUUAAGAAAGACGUCUUGAAGACGUUGCAGAAAAGCAUCGCUCCCUCAAAACCCCACAACACCGCCUUCAAGAAAGUUCUGCUGAAGGACGUUGCUGAACUCUCCAACUACAUCGACCGGAGCCAGCUGCCACCCUGUUUAGGAGGCUACUUCAUGUACCAUCACCCGAGCUGGGUAGCCUUCAUCAAGGAGAUAGACCUGUUCCUGCAGGAGUUCCUCUCUGUGGUGCAGCGUCUUCCCACCUGUAUCUCCACCCUCCAGUCCAUCUCCAGGCUCCCCAUCCCAGAGGACCUCCACCUGCUCACAGACUUCUGCUCCGCCAACCAGAACCUGUUCCUCCGUCUCAGAAGGUCAGGGUGCAGCAAUUCACUCUUGCAUUUGUUUUCACAUCCUAUGUGUUUGAUGUGCUGAUGCUUAUUUUAUUGGCUGGUUAUGA
rnacentral:lncRNA from 1 species